GGGGUUCUCGGCCCGCGCCCUGGACAGCAGCCUUUGGAAUGCUGUAGCUGUCACUUGAAAGAAUGCAAACGCUGUCAUCCUCAUUUGCACGGUAUUUACUGAAUGCCCCAGUGAGACUGACUCCUCCAGCUCUGGCUAUGCAGGGUCCCACAGGAGCUCCCUCCUCCUCUGCCUUACGCUCCCUGGGACACCCCAGAAGACCUAUCCGUCCCGGGGAGCCUCUUCUUACAUGCUCCCAUUCUCUAGGAAGCCUGUCACCUGUGUACCCUGGCUAGAAGGUAGCACCUGAGCGGCAAGGUGUGUGCCUCCAUCCUGUAACCGGAGAGCGCCAGCGGCCCUGUAACCCCUGCCCGAGUCCUGGCUGUGUCCCAGGACAUUCCAGGCCGAUGGCCAGGUGGGCAACUGGGCCUGGCCUGAUUCAGCACCCGGCCCUGCUGGGGGAGAUGGGUCACUGUAGUGCCUGGGUGAGUGUGGCUUCUCCCAUCCAGUAUUUUUCCUCUGCACCUAUGGUACAUAGCCCUACUUCUUAAAGUCCUACUUUUAAGUCCCCUCCUCUGGGGAAGGUCCCCAAACAUCCUCCAGGCCCACUGAACUUUCACUGCCCACCCAGACCUAGAAAAGUGUCCAUUCCAUGACUGCAACGGGAGCUGUGGGCUAAACAGGCACUAUGUGGGCUGGUCAAGAGCCCUGCCGGGAGUGGGGUACUUCUGGAAGGAGAUGGGGGAACCUAUGCCUGAGGGACGGCUGGGAUGGCAUUACAGAGUCUGUGGGUCCUCACUUCCCACCUCCUGCCUGGAAUAUUCCAGAGCUUUUUUUUUUUUUUGCUUCUCCUCAGCAGGGCCCCCUCUUACUCUGAAGCCUUGGGUUUGUUUGGAGAAACCCCUCCACCCACCCACACACCCCUCCUUCCUGGAAAUAGCUGUGGUUGGAUGUGAAGCUGGGAGCUGGGCCACAGAGGAGUGAGGCCCAGCAAAGACGGGAGGGGAAUGGAGGUAGGAUUCAAGGGUGUGUCCAAAGGGACCUAGGGGGUGUCUAGGCAGGGCAGAAGUAGAAGAGGGCAUAGGAGGGAUCAGCUUCAUCUGUGCCUGCACUGUGCCUCAGUGUCCCAGACAGGGAGCACCAGAAGAAAACGCUUGCAUGCCCUCUGCCAGGCCAGGGCCGGGGCACAGCUGCCAGCCGCCGCGGGCAUCUUGUGCUCCAAGUGCGCUUGUCUGACCUGGGGAUGCAGGCAGAGAGCGGCCCGACCCAACAGUAGUGCGCAGACUCAGGGCUGAGGACCCACAGAAGGCUCAAGACUCCCACCCCUGGACGGCUUCAGUCAUCGCCCCGGUGUUCUUGGGUUUUCCCAAUGCAAGUUCUCCUGAUGGCGUAAUCCCAUUCCCUUCUUUUAAAGGCUGAUGUUGGAUAGGAACGUCUGGAAUUAAACUAAUGGGCCGUGG